ensembl:lncRNA
AGACAAACUACUCCCAGGUUCAUCAGACUACUCCCAGGUUCAUCAGACUACUCCCAGGUUUAUCAGACUACUCCCAGGUUUAUCAGACUACUCCCAGGUUCAUCAGACUACUCCCAGGUUCAUCAGACUACUCCCAGGUUCAUCAGACUACUCCCAGGUUCAUCAGACUACUCCCAGGUUUAUCAGACUACUCCCAGGUUCAUCAGACUACUCCCAGGUUCAUCAGACUACUCCCAGGUUCAUCAGACUACUCCCAGGUUCAUCAGACUACUUCCAGGUUCAUCAGACUACUUCCAGGUUCAUCAGACUACUCUGGCUGAUGAGUUGUUGAUUUUGUGCCGAUCAGAAUUUGGUCAGGGAAAGGUGUA